GGGGAAAGGGCUGGAUGACAUUGAGGUCAAUCCUGAAGUAGAAAUGAGUGAUGAUGAUUCCAGUGAAGAAACCAUUGCUGACCUACAUCAAUGCAAAGGCUCAACAACAGAGACUUCUAGGGACCAGACACUUCUGAGGCAAACACCAGAGUCAACCACCCUGGACAACAUGGAGGGCACUUCUG